UAAGGAAUAUUGCUCAAUGGGAGAAAUCCUGAAGCAGCAACGCCGCGUGGAGGAUGAAGGGUCUAUGACUUGUAAACUCCUGUAAAGAAGGAAAAAAUUCCCAUUAGAUGGGAGAUGAUGGUACUUCUGGAGUAAGCCCCGGCUAACUACGUGCCAGCAGCCGCGGUAAUCCGUAGGGGGCAAGCGUUGUCCGGAUUUACUGGGUGUAAAGGGUGCUCAGGCGGAUUUGUAAGUCAGAGGUGAAAUCUUACAGCUUAACUGUGAAACUGCCUUUGAUACUGCAAGCCUAGAGUAUGGAAGAGAGUGAUGGAAUAUCUGGUGUAGCAGUGAAAUGCGUAGAUAUCAGAUAGAACACCAAUGGCGAAGGCAGUCACUUGGUCCAUUACUGACGCUAAAGCACGAAAGCGUGGGUAGCAAACA
rnacentral:rRNA from 1 species